rnacentral:tRNA from 1 species
GCGCCCGUAGCUCAGCCGGAUAGAGCACCAGAUUCCUAAUCUGGGGGUCGUGGGUUCAAAUCCCGCCGGGCGCACCA